CAGCAGCCGCGGUAAUACGAGGGGGGCAAGCGUUGUUCGGAAUUAUUGGGCGUAAAGGGUGCGUAGGCGGCUUGACAAGUCUUGUGUGAAAUCUAUGGGCUCAACCCAUAGUCUGCACGGGAAACUGUCGGGCUUGAGAAUGGGAGAGGUGAGUGGAAUUUCCGGUGUAGCGGUGAAAUGCGUAGAUAUCGGAAGGAACACCUGUGGCGAAAGCGGCUCACUGGACCAUUUCUGACGCUGAUGCACGAAAGCUAGGGGAGCAAACAGGAUUAGAGACCCCCGUAGUCCCUGUCUCUUAUAC
rnacentral:rRNA from 1 species